rnacentral:rRNA from 1 species
UUCCGGUUGAUCCCGCCGGACCUGACUGCUAUCGGAUUGAUACUAAGCCAUGCGAGUCUUUGCAGUAAUGCAAGGCAUACGGCUCAGUAACACGUAGUCAACUUACCCUAUGGACGAGGAUAAUCUCGGGAAACUGAGCAUAAUACUCGAUAGAUCAUAAUGCCUGGAAUGGUUUAUGGUUAAAAUGAUUCGUCGCCAUAGGAUGGGACUGCGGCCUAUCAGCUUGUUGGUGAGGUAAUGGCCCACCAAGGCGAUUACAGGUACGGGCUCUGAGAGGAGAAGCCCGGAGAUGGGUACUGAGACAAGGACCCAGGCCCUAUGGGGCGCAGCAGGCGAGAAAACUUUGCAAUGUGCGAAAGCACGACAAGGUUAAUCCGAGUGAUUUCUGCUAAAGAAAUCUUUUGCAAGUCAUAAAACCACUAGUGAAUAAGGGGUGGGCAAGUUCUGGUGUCAGCCGCCGCGGUAAAACCAGCACCUCAAGUGGUCAGGAGGAUUAUUGGGCCUAAAGCAUCCGUAGCCGGCUCUGUAAGUUUUCGGUUAAAUUCAUGUGCUCAACGCAUGAGCCGCCGAAAAUACUGCAUAGCUAGGGAGUGGGAGAGGUAGACGGUACUCGGUAGGAAGGGGUAAAAUCCUUUGAUCUAUCGAUGACCACCUGUGGCGAAGGCGGUCUACCAGAACACGUUCGACGGUGAGGGAUGAAAGCUGGGGGAGCAAACCGGAUUAGAUACCCGGGUAGUCCCAGCUGUAAACGAUGCAGACUCGAUGAUGCAUUGGCAUAUAGCCAGUGCAGUGUCGCAGGGAAGCCGUUAAGUCUGCCGCCUGGGAAGUACGUACGCAAGUAUGAAACUUAAAGGAAUUGGCGGGGGAGCACCACAAGGGGUGAAGCCUGCGGUUCAAUUGGAGUCAACGCCGGG